rnacentral:rRNA from 1 species
UACGUAGGGUGCAAGCGUUGUCCGGAAUUAUUGGGCGUAAAGAGCUCGUAGGCGGUUCGUCGCGUCGGCUGUGAAAACCCGCAGCUCAACUGUGGGCUUGCAGCUGAUACGGGCAGGCUUGAGUUCGGUAGGGGAGACUGGAAUUCCUGGUGUAGCGGUGAAAUGCGCAGAUAUCAGGAGGAACACCGGUGGCGAAGGCGGGUCUCUGGGCCGAUACUGACGCUGAGGAGCGAAAGCGUGGGGAGCGAACAGG